UCUGCUUUGGUCAGAUUUCACCUAGAAUACUGUGUCCAAUUCUGUCAUAAAGAAGAGGGGAUAAGCUUGUUUUCUGUUGCCCUGGAGACUAGAACUCUGACCAAUAGGUUCAAAUUACAGGAAAGGAGUUUCCACAUAAACAUUAGGAAGAACUUCCUAACCGUAUGGGCUGUUCAACAAUGAAACUCUCUGCCAUGGAGUGUGGCGGAAGCUCCUUCCUUGGAGUCUUUUAAACAGAAGCUGGAUGGCCAUCUGUCAGAGAAUCCCCUUAGGAGCAGAACCUCAGGCAAGGCACUUCUGGUUCUUGGAAGAGUCAGCUUUUUCGUGACUGGAAGGUGAAGAGAGAGGAAGGCAGAAGGUCAACAAAUAGCAUGUCUAGUUGGAGCCGUAUGAGUUAUAGUCCAGGCGGAUCUGUAUUCCAAGUCCAGUCAGAGUUAAAUACUGAAAUGAUCUUAGAGACAGUUGAACACCAUAUAAGAAAGAGACAAUAAGAAGAAAUAAAGAUUCAAGAACCUCAUUUUGGCCAGAACUGUGUCUGUCUCAAAGACUUUGCCUCUCUUCAUAAAGACUUUGUAGUGACACUCAGGAGGACAGAAAGUCUAAAAUUAUUGUCAGCUAAUAAAUUCCUGUUUGAUUCAA